rnacentral:rRNA from 1 species
GAUGAACGCUGGCUACAGGCUUAACACAUGCAAGUCGAGGGGAAACGACGGGGAAGCUUGCUUCCCCGGGCGUCGACCGGCGCACGGGUGAGUAACGCGUAUCCGACCUGCCUCUGACUGAGGGAUAACCCGUCGAAAGUCGGCCUAAUACCUCAUGGUAUCGUCUGCGGGCAUCCAACGACGAUUAAAGAUUUCAUCGGUCAGGGAUGGGGAUGCGUCUGAUUAGCUUGUUGGCGGGGUAACGGCCCACCAAGGCUACGAUCAGUAGGGGUUCUGAGAGGAAGGUCCCCCACAUUGGAACUGAGACACGGUCCAAACUCCUACGGGAGGCAGCAGUGAGGAAUAUUGGUCAAUGGGCGAGAGCCUGAACCAGCCAAGUAGCGUGCAGGAAGACGGCCCUAUGGGUUGUAAACUGCUUUUAUGCGGGGAUAAAGUGAGGGACGUGUCCCUCAUUGCAGGUACCGCAUGAAUAAGGACCGGCUAAUUCCGUG